rnacentral:rRNA from 1 species
GUGGGAAAUAUUGGACAAUGGGCGCAAGCCUGAUCCAGCCAUGCCGCGUGAGUGAUGAAGGCCUUAGGGUUGUAAAGCUCUUUUGUCCGGGAAGAUAAUGACUGUACCGGAAGAAUAAGCCCCGGCUAACUUCGUGCCAGCAGCCGCGGUAAUACGAAGGGGGCUAGCGUUGUUCGGAAUCACUGGGCGUAAAGCGCACGUAGGCGGACCAUUAAGUCAGGGGUGAAAGCCUGGAGCUCAACUCCAGAACUGCCUUUGAUACUGAUGGUCUCGAGUAUGGAAGAGGUUGGUGGAACUGCGAGUGUAGAGGUGAAAUUCGUAGAUAUUCGCAAGAACACCGGUGGCGAAGGCGGCCAACUGGUCCAUUACUGACGCUGAGGUGCGAAAGCGUGGGGAGCAAACAGGAUUAGAAACCCCGGUAGUCC